GCUGGGCAUGGUGGUGUACGCCUGUAAUCCCAGCAGCUAGCAAGGCUUAGACAGGAGAAUCGUGAGUUCAAAGCCAGCCUCAGCAAAAAAGCGAGGUGCUAAUAAGCAGCUCAGUGAGACCCUGUCUCUU
rnacentral:SRP_RNA from 1 species